AGAGUUUGAUCAUGGCUCAGGAUGAACGUUGGCGGCGUGCCUAAUACAUGCAAGUCGAACGAAGAUUGUAGUAAUACGGUCUUAGUGGCGAACGGGUGAGUAACGCGUGGGUGACCUGCCCCGAAGUGUGGGAUACCAGUCCGAAAGGACUGCUAAUACUGCAUAACAUCCAGGAGAUUAGAACCUGCUGGAUUAAAGGAGUUUUUCGCUUCGGGAGGGGCCUGCGUCCCAUCAGCUAGUUGGUAAGGUAAUGGCUUACCAAGGCGAUGACGGGU
rnacentral:rRNA from 1 species